rnacentral:rRNA from 1 species
UGGCGCCGGGUGCGUAACGCGUGGGAAUCUGCCCCUUGGUUCGGAAUACAGUUGGAAACGACUGCUAAUACCGGAUGAUGACGUAAGUCCAAAGAUUUAUCGCCGAGGGAUGAGCCCGCGUAGGAUUAGGUAGUUGGUGUGGUAAGGCGCACCAGCCGACGAUCCUUAGCUGGUCUGAGAGGAUGAUCAGCCACGCUGGGACUGAGACACGGCCCAGACUCCUACGGGAGGCAGCAGUGGGGAAUAUUGGACAAUGGGCGAAAGCCUGAUCCAGCAAUGCCGCGUGAGUGAUGAAGGCCUUAGGGUUGUAAAGCUCUUUUACCCGGGAUGAUAAUGACAGUACCGGGAGAAUAAGCUCCGGCUAACUCCGUGCCAGCAGCCGCGGUAAUACGGAGGGAGCUAGCGUUAUUCGGAAUUACUGGGCGUAAGCGCACGUAGGCGGCUUUGUAAGUAAGAGGUGAAAGCCCAGAGCUCAACUCUGGAAUUGC